rnacentral:rRNA from 1 species
AACAGGAUUAGAUACCCUGGUAGUCCACGCCGUAAACGAUGUCGACUUGGAGGUUGUUCCCUUGAGGAGUGGCUUCCGGAGCUAACGCGUUAAGUCGACCGCCUGGGGAGUACGGCCGCAAGGUUAAAACUCAAAUGAAUUGACGGGGGCCCGCACAAGCGGUGGAGCAUGUGGUUUAAUUCGAUGCAACGCGAAGAACCUUACCUACUCUUGACAUCCACGGAAUUUGGCAGAGAUGCCUUAGUGCCUUCGGGAACCGUGAGACAGGUGCUGCAUGGCUGUCGUCAGCUCGUGUUGUGAAAUGUUGGGUUAAGUCCCGCGACGAGCGCAACCCUUAUCCUUUGUUGCCAGCGAUUCGGUCGGGAACUCAAAGGAGACUGCCGGUGAUAAACCGGAGGAAGGUGGGGAUGACGUCAAGUCAUCAUGGCCCUUACGAGUAGGGCUACACACGUGCUACAAUGGCGCAUACAAAGAGAAGCGACCUCGCGAGAGCAAGCGGACCUCACAAAGUGCGUCGUAGUCCGGAUCGGAGUCUGCAACUCGACUCCGUGAAGUCGGAAUCGCUAGUAAUCGUGGAUCAGAAUGCCACGGUGAAUACGUUCCCGGGCCUUGUACACACCGCCCGUCACACCAUGGGAGUGGGUUGCAAAAGAAGUAGGUAGCUUAACCUUCGGGAGGGCGCUUACCACUUUGUGAUUCAUGACUGGGGUGAAGUCGUAACAAGGUAACC